UCCCAAGUGGCUCAGACAAUAAAGCACCCACCUGCAAUGCAGGAGACCCGGGUUCGAUCCCUGGCUUGGGAA
rfam:TPA: Bos taurus chromosome 7, whole genome shotgun sequence.